rnacentral:rRNA from 1 species
AACGAACGCUGGCGGCAUGCCUAACACAUGCAAGUCGAACGAGACCUUCGGGUCUAGUGGCGCACGGGUGCGUAACGCGUGGGAACCUGCCCUUAGGUUCGGAAUAACUCCCCGAAAGGGGUGCUAAUACCGGAUAAUGUCUUCGGACCAAAGAUUUAUCGCCUUUGGAUGGGCCCGCGUUGGAUUAGCUAGUUGGUAGGGUAAAAGCCUACCAAGGCGACGAUCCAUAGCUGGUCUGAGAGGAUGAUCAGCCACACUGGGACUGAGACACGGCCCAGACUCCUACGGGAGGCAGCAGUGGGGAAUAUUGGACAAUGGGCGAAAGCCUGAUCCAGCAAUGCCGCGUGAGUGAUGAAGGACUUAGGGUUGUAAAGCUCUUUUACCAGGGAUGAUAAUGACAGUACCGGGAGAAUAAGCUCCGGCUAACUCCGUG